UACCUACGGGGGGCAGCAGUGAGGAAUAUUGGUCAAUGGGCGCGAGCCUGAACCAGCCAAGUAGCGUGAAGGAUGACUGCCCUACGGGUUGUAAACUUCUUUUAUAAAGGAAUAAAGUGAGGCACGUGUGCCUUUUUGUAUGUACUUUAUGAAUAAGGAUCGGCUAACUCCGUGCCAGCAGCCGCGGUAAUACGGAGGAUCCGAGCGUUAUCCGGAUUUAUUGGGUUUAAAGGGUGCGUAGGCGGGCUGUUAAGUCAGCGGUCAAAUGUCGGGGCUCAACCCCGGCCUGCCGUUGAAACUGGCGG
rnacentral:rRNA from 1 species